rnacentral:rRNA from 1 species
AGCAGCCGCGGUAAUUCCAGCUCCAAUAGCGUAUAUUAAAGUUGUUGCAGUUAAAAAGCCCGUAGUUGAAUUUCGGGGUUCUACCGUUGGUCGGGCUAUUGUCUGUACUGGUGUGUAGAAUUUCUACCUUCUGGGGAACCAUCAUGUUAUUAAUUUAGCGUGGUGGGAAACCAGGACCUUUACCUUGAAAAAAUUAGAGUGUUCAAAGCAGGCUUACGUCUAGAAUACAUUAGCAUGGAAUAAUAAAAUAGGACGGUGGUCCUGUUUUGUUGGUUUCUGAAUCACCGUAAUGAUUAAUAGGGAUAGUUGGGGGCAUUAGUAUUCAAUUGUCAGAGGUGAAAUUCUUGGAUUUAUUGAAGACUAACUUCUGCGAAAGCAUUUGCCAAGGAUGUUUUCAUUAAUCAAGAACGAAAGUUAGGGGAUCGAAGACGAUCAGAUACCGUCGUAGUCUUAACCAUAAACUAUGCCGA